UACGAAGGGGGCUAGCGUUGUUCGGAAUUACUGGGCGUAAAGAGCGCGCAGGCGGUCGUUCAAGUCGAGUGUGAAAGCCCCCGGCUCAACUGGGGAGGGUCAUUCGAUACUGAUCGACUCGAAGGCAGGAGAGGGAAGCGGAAUUCCCGGUGUAGUGGUGAAAUGCGUAGAUAUCGGGAGGAACACCAGUGGCGAAGGCGGCUUCCUGGCCUGUUCUUGACGCUGAGGCGCGAAAGCUAGGGGAGCAAACGGG
rnacentral:rRNA from 1 species